GUCACAACCCGCAGUUUGGAAACAGCUGGAUGGACCCCCACCUGUGCUUUCCAGCUUCUCCUAGAGCCUCAGGGCCCCAGGAAGGCAGUGUGGUCUCUGCAACCAGCUUCUAGAGACUUCUAGCAUACUUUGGCUUGUGGCAUCUUCCAUCUUCAAAGCCUACAGCAGUCAACUGAGUCCUUCUCACAUCACAUCUCCUCUUCUGACUCUCACGCUCCCUCUUCCACUUCAAAGGGUCCUUCCUUGUGACAAUGCUGGAUCACUCCUUACUUUAAGGUCCUCUCCUGGGAGAAACACUUCAACUUUUGCAAAAGAUUCAUUAAUUCAUCACCAUGGCACCCAGAAAAAAAAAAUGCAAAAGAGAAGACUCAAGUUGUGGCUGACCCAAGGUGGCUGCAAACUGUUUGAGAUUUUCCUCGUUGAGAGGUAGGGGUCUAAGUUCCCUCCCUUGAACCUAGGCAGGCCCUCUGACUGCCUAACCAACAGAAAUAGCAUGGAAGUGACACUGUACCGGUUUUUGAGGCUAAGCCUGAAGAGACUGGCAGUUCCCACUUCCUGUCGUCUGGGAAUAAUUGUUCUUCAAACCUAAGUGCUAUGCUGUGAGGAAGCCAAGCAGCCUCGUUGACAGGCCCACAUGGAGCGGAACCAAACCCUGGCCAGCAGCCCCUGCUGCACCCCUAGCUGACAGCCAGGUUCGACUUGUCUUGCAUACCAGUAUGUCAUCUUGGAUGAGGAUCCCCCAGCCCUAGUAGGGCCAUCUCAGCUGAUGCUCCAAGGAGCAGAGAUGAGCCAUCCCCACCAAGCCCUGCAAGAAAGACUGCCAACUAAUCAGGAGGAAGACUUGCAAGUUGGGUUGGGUAUACUGAAGUGUAAACAUGUA